rnacentral:rRNA from 1 species
GGCGGCGUGCUAUACAUGCAGUCGAGCGAAUGGAUUAAGAGCUUGCUCUUAUGAAGUUAGCGGCGGACGGGUGAGUAACACGUGGGUAACCUGCCCAUAAGACUGGGAUAACUCCGGGAAACCGGGGCUAAUACCGGAUAACAUUUUGAACCGCAUGGUUCGAAAUUGAAAGGCGGCUUCGGCUGUCACUUAUGGAUGGACCCGCGUCGCAUUAGCUAGUUGGUGAGGUAACGGCUCACCAAGGCAACGAUGCGUAGCCGACCUGAGAGGGUGAUCGGCCACACUGGGACUGAGACACGGCCCAGACUCCUACGGGAGGCAGCAGUAGGGAAUCUUCCGCAAUGGACGAAAGUCUGACGGAGCAACGCCGCGUGAGUGAUGAAGGCUUUCGGGUCGUAAAACUCUGUUGUUAGGGAAGAACAAGUGCUAGUUGAAUAAGCUGGCACCUUGACGGUACCUAACCAGAAAGCCACGGCUAACUACGUGCCAGCAGCCGCGGUAAUACGUAGGUGGCAAGCGUUAUCCGGAAUUAUUGGGCGUAAAGCGCGCGCAGGUGGUUUCUUAAGUCUGAUGUGAAAGCCCACGGCUCAACCGUGGAGGGUCAUUGGAAACUGGGAGACUUGAGUGCAGAAGAGGAAAGUGGAAUUCCAUGUGUAGCGGUGAAAUGCGUAGAGAUAUGGAGGAACACCAGUGGCGAAGGCGACUUUCUGGUCUGUAACUGACACUGAGGCGCGAAAGCGUGGGGAGCAAACAGGAUUAG